GCAAGUCGAGCGCUUUCCUUCGGGAAGGAGCGGCGGACGGGUUAGUAACGCGUGGGAAUAUACCCUUUUCUACGGAAUAGCCUCGGGAAACUGAGAGUAAUACCGUAUACGCCCUUCGGGGGAAAGAUUUAUCGGUGAAGGAUUAGCCCGCGUAAGAUUAGAUAGUUGGUGGGGUAAUGGCCUACCAAGUCUACGAUCUUUAGCUGGUUUGAGAGGAUGAUC
rnacentral:rRNA from 1 species